rnacentral:rRNA from 1 species
GACGAGACUUUUUAUUUGAUGCUUGCAUCUUUUAAAAAGUUGAGUGGCGAACGGGUGAGUAACACGUGGGUAACCUGCCUUAAAGUGGGGGAUAACACUUGGAAACAGGUGCUAAUACCGCAUAACCAUCAAAACCACCUGGUUUUGAUGUUAAAGAUGGUUCUGCUAUCGCUUUAAGAUGGACCCGCGGCGUAUUAGCUAGUUGGUGAGGUAACGGCUUACCAAGGCAAUGAUACGUAGCCGAACUGAGAGGUUGAUCGGCCACAUUGGGACUGAGACACGGCCCAAACUCCUACGGGAGGCAGCAGUAGGGAAUCUUCCACAAUGGACGAAAGUCUGAUGGAGCAACGCCGCGUGAGUGAAGAAGGUUUUCGGAUCGUAAAACUCUGUUGUCAGAGAAGAACGUGUGUGAGAGUAACUGUUCACGCAGUGACGGUAUCUGACCAGAAAGUCACGGCUAACUACGUGCCAGCAGCCGCGGUAAUACGUAGGUGGCAAGCGUUGUCCGGAUUUAUUGGGCGUAAAGGGAACGCAGGCGGUCUUUUAAGUCUGAUGUGAAAGCCUUCGGCUUAACCGAAGUCGGGCAUUGGAAACUGGGAGACUUGAGUGCAGAAGAGGAGAGUGGAGCUCCAUGUGUAGCGGUGAAAUGCGUAGAUAUAUGGAAGAACACCAGUGGCGAAAGCGGCUCUCUGGUCUGUAACUGACGCUGAGGUUCGAAAGCGUGGGUAGCAAACAGGAUUAGAUACCCUGGUAGUCCACGCCGUAAACGAUGAAUGCUA